GGGAAUGUGGCUUAGUGGUGGAGUGUUUGUCUAGCAUGCAUGAGGCCAUGGGUUCGAUUCCUCAGUACCA
rnacentral:tRNA from 1 species